AGGCAAUGCCCAGAACUGCAGCUCCCCAGAUGUGGUCCACAAAGUAAGGCAACAGAUCACAGAAAACAUAGACUUGUGGCUGUCUGAAUGCCAAAAUAGUGGUAGGAGCUCUAUCUGAAGUACAUGCUCAUGGUGAACGUGAAUUUGGGAGGACUUGGUGUGAAUCGACAAUUGCAAUAAUUUGCCAUUGCUUUGCCCCUGUAAUUGUUCUGUCAAUUCCUUGACCUGUAAAUAUAGAAUAAAUACUCCAACGAUGUAAAAUGGCUGUAGUAACUCAUUUUGAUUAUAUUCCGGGUCAAUAUGCUUACUUC